CCAUCCCCGGUACCAUCCUCCAGUACCAUCCCUCCAGUACCAUCCCUCCAGUACCAUCCCCGGUACCAUCCUCCAGUACCAUACCCUGGUACCAUCCUCCGGUACCAUCCCCCGGUACCAUCCUCCAGUACCAUACCCUGGUACCAUCCUCCGGUACCAUCCUCCGGUACCAUCCUCCAGUACCAUCCCCGGUACCAUCCUCCAGUACCAUCCUCCAGUACCAUCCCUCCAGUACCAUCCCUCCAGUACCAUCCCUCCAUACCAUCCCUCCAGUACCAUCCCCGGUACCAUCCUCCAGUACCAUCCUCCAGCACCAUCCCUCGACAAGUGUUUUUUUCAAAUUCUAAUUUCUGGAAAAGGCUUAAAAGAAAGGUUAAAUUCAGGUCAUGUGACAUAAUUAAUUAAAACACAGGGCCCAAGGCAUGAUAGAUGGAAGAGGAAGUGAGACAUCCUACUCACUCUUUUUUCUUCUGGUUCUUAUAGCCUACAGUCAAUGAACUGAGCAGACCAGACCCAGCUGCUAAUGCAUUGGGGUGCCUAUGGGAGAGCACCCCAAAAAUGGAGAUCACAAUCGAGUGAUGAGUGGGACAUCUUCAUUUAUCCACCAUCUUUGAUGAUGGCUCAAACACUGGCCCUCAGGCUCGUGAGUUCUUUGUCUCCUUAAUACGGGUAUUUUCCAAGUAAAAACAAAAAACAGGUGUACUUCCAGAGAUGACCUCUAGGUGGCGAUGAUGUCCAGUAAUUCCAGCCAGACAGCCCUCUGUACUGUACUGUACCAGCAGGAACAAUAGACGCUAUAGAGGAGGAAAAACAUGUUUUGCUCAUAUGGUGUCUAGGAUUAUGACCAAUAUGGAGUAGAUUUAACACCAUGCAUGUUUGUUUGGUCUACUAAAUUAAUUUGGGAUGGAUGGAUGGAUGGAUGGAUGUAUAGAGA
rnacentral:lncRNA from 1 species